rnacentral:rRNA from 1 species
CAGCCGCCGCGGGAAAACGUAGGUGGCAAGCGUUGUCCGGAAUUAUUGGGCGUAAAGGGCUCGCAGGCGGUUUCUUAAGUCUGAUGUGAAAGCCCCGGGCUCAACCGGGGAGGGUCAUUGGAAACUGGGAAACUUGAGUGCAGAAGAGGAGAGUGGAAUUCCACGUGUAGCGGUGAAAUGCGUAGAGAUGUGGAGGAACACCAGUGGCGAAGGCGACUCUCUGGUCUGUAACUGACGCUGAGGAGCGAAAGCGUGGGGAGCGAACAGGAUUAGAUACCCCCGUAGUCCCUGUCUCUUAUAA